CAGUAGCCGCGGGAAUACGAAGGGGGCUAGCGUUGUUCGGAUUAACUGGGCGUAAAGGGUGCGUAGGCGGGUUUUUAAGUCAGAGGUGAAAUCCCAAGGCUCAACCUUGGAACUGCCUUUGAUACUGGAAAUCUUGAGUCCGGGAGAGGUGAGUGGAACUGCGAGUGUAGAGGUGAAAUUCGUAGAUAUUCGCAAGAACACCAGUGGCGAAGGCGGCUCACUGGCCCGGAACUGACGCUGAGGCACGAAAGCGUGGGGAGCAAACAGGAUUAGAUACCCCCGUAGUCCCUGUCUCUUAUAU
rnacentral:rRNA from 1 species